GCAUUGGUGGUAUAGCGGUUAGCAUAGCUGCCUUCCAAGCAGUUAACCUGGGUUCGAGUCACAGCCAAUGCA